CCUACGGGGGGCAGCAGUAGGGAAUAUUGCUCAAUGGGGGAAACCCUGAAGCAGCAACGCCGCGUGGAGGAUGAAGGUUUUCGGAUUGUAAACUCCUUUUGUUAGAGAAGAUAAUGACGGUAUCUAACGAAUAAGCACUUGCUAACUCCGUGCCAGCAGCCGCGGUAAUACGGAGGGUGCAAGCGUUACUGGGAAUAACUGGGCGUAAAGUGCGCGUAGGCGGGAUAGCAAGUCAGAUGUGAAAUCCUAGGGCUUAACCAUAGAACUGCAUUUGAAACUGUUAUUCUAGAGUAUGGGAGAGGUAAGUGGAAUUCUUGGUGUAGGAGUAAAAUCCGUAGAGAUCAAGAGGAAUAC
rnacentral:rRNA from 1 species